GAUGGGUAAGCUUAGACCUCAAGUUUUUUCUUCAUUUUUCAUCUGGGGUUUGGUUAUUCAUGGUGGAAUCACACUGACCCUACGCUCGUGUUGUUUGUUUGAUACGGGUUAGAUCUAGGUUAUCCAUAUUUUUUGCUAAUGUUAGUGGAUCUGAUCAAUGCCGUUUGUCUCCUCGGAUCUAGGGCUUGAAUUGGGUCGCAAACGCUCCUUUUCUUCCUUCCUUUCGUUCUUUCUUUCUUUCUUUUCUGAUGAAAUGCAAGAAUAGGAUAAUUCUCUGCGAUCCUCUCAUCCCCUUGUUGAGAAUUUGAGGAGGAAUCGGUGUUCUUGGGUGUCUUUUGAUGUUUACUAUCAAAUGAAUGUGCGGUUUGUUCAAAUGUAUGCUUGAUCUGGUUGGUUUCUUUUUCCUUUUUCAUAAUAAUAUUAUUUUAGUAACC